rnacentral:rRNA from 1 species
CGGUAGCAGCUAGCAGGCGGCGGCAGUACCACUGCUCCACUCGCACGCGCGCGCAUGGCCGACCUGGGCGGGAGGUGAUAACUGGGCGGCGCGGAGAUGAGGGAGCUGGUGGGGAGGCCCGGGACGUGGGGCGGGCUCUGGCUGCGGCUCGGCCAAGCCGCGCUCGCCGCCGCCUCCAUCGCCGUCAUGGCCUCCGCCAACGGCUUCGCCGGCUACACCGCCUUCUGCUAUCUGAUUGCAUCGAUGGGAUUACAAGCGCUCUGGAGCUUGGGGCUUGCAUGUCUUGAUGGAUACGCCCUUAAAGUCAAAAGAGAUCUCAACAAUGCUGUUUUAGUGAGCUUAUUUGUAGUCGGAGACUGGGUUACUGCGAUUCUCUCGUUUGCUGCAUCGUGCUCAGCUGCUGGUGUAACAGUUCUUUUUGAGAGGGACAUUUCUUUCUGCAGAAGAUAUUACGAACUGCCUUGUGGGAGAUUUCAACUCGCGACGGCAUUCGCUUUUCUGUCCUGGGCGCUAAGUGCUACAUCAGCGGUCAUCAUGUUUUGGCUCCUGGCAUCCUUCUGAUUUUGUGUAUAGUCCUCCUGUGUGUAAGUUCUGUUUAUAGUGAGGUUUCCGCUCAUCAUAGGAUUUAUAUAGGAUGAUUUUUCAGAUAUGUAAGCAACAGAAACCACACUGCCAAAACAGAUGGAAAUGUUGGGACACCUAUAAACUCCAUGGAGCGCAUUUCCUAGGUACUACUCCCUCCGUGCUAAAUAUAAGUCUUUUCAGAGAUUUUCCUAGGGACUACAUACGGAUGGAUAUAGGCAUAUUUUAGAGAGUAGAUUCACUCAUUUUGCUCCGUAUGUAUUCCAUAUUGGAUUCUCUAAAAGGACUUAUAUUUAGGAAUGGAUGAAGUAUUACUCGCUGGAAGCUUUCCUCCAGAAAAUGAUGCUAAAUCGAUUUCUCAUUAUAGUGUCUCCAGAUACCCUUCAUGUUCUUCUCUAAGUUUUGGGAUGAUGCGAUGCAAUAUUGGUGACCAAUUAGAAUGUUUUAGCCGAGUCGGGGAUGUGUGUCGCUGCUCUUUAGCUGUGUUGCGAAUGAACACAAAGAAUCUGUGGAGUUUCAGGCAUGCUGAAACCUAUCGGCUCCGUUGUAAAGAAUCAAAGUAUAAGGGGGUUGGUCUGGACAGAGGUGCCAUUUCAAUAGUCCGACUGCUCUGA